GGGGUCGUAGUUUAAUUUAAAACAGUUAACUUGCAAUUAAAAAAUACUAAAUUUUGGUCCUCCUCA
rnacentral:tRNA from 1 species